CUGGAUGCAGUACAUUGGAAUCCUGAAGCACCACCACGAACGCUACCGCGCGUGCGCCUGCGGUGCGGUAAGGCACCACCCUGUUGUGCCAGCAGCGGGGGAGAGUCAAGUCAAGUACAACACAGGACUGACGGGGUGGGGCGCGCCAAAGCAACCCGGGACCCCUCCGGGGUCACUACAAAAGCGCACCUCUUCUUUUUUCCUUCCAGAAUAGAAGAUGGGGUUGUACCUGUCAUCUCUUGA
rnacentral:rRNA from 1 species